rnacentral:rRNA from 1 species
GUGCCAGCCGCCGCGGUAAUACCGGCAGCUCGAGUGGUGGCCAAUCUUAUUGGGCCUAAAGCGUCCGUAGCUGGCCGCGCAAGUCCGUCGGGAAAUCCAUCAGCCCAACUGAUGGGCGUCCGGCGGAAACUGUCCGGCUUGGGGCCGAACGACCCGAGGGGUACGUCCGGGGUAGGAGUGAAAUCCUGUAAUCCUGGACGGACCGCCGGUGGCGAAAGCGCCUCGGGAGGACGGACCCGACGGUGAGGGACGAAAGCCAGGGUCUCGAACCGGAUUAGAAACCCCGGUAGUCC